rnacentral:rRNA from 1 species
UGAGGAAUAUUUGUCAAUUUGCUCAAUCCUUAACCAUCCAUGCCUCUUGCAGGUAGACGGCCCUCCUGGUUGUAAACUGCUUUUGUACGUUAAUAAACCUCGCUACUUUUAGCGAUCUUAAUGUACCGUAAUAAUAAUGAUCGUCUAACUCCGUGCCAGCAGCCGCGGUAAUACGGAGGAUCCAAGCGUUAUCCGGAUUUAUUGGGUUUAAAGGGUGCGUAGGCGGCCUGUUAAGUCAGGGGUGAAAGACGGUGGCUCAACCAUCGCAGUGCCCUUGAUACUGAUGGGCUUGAAUGGACUAGAGGUAGGCGGAAUGUGAAAAGUAGCGGUGAAAUGCAUAGAUAUGUCACAGAACACCGAUUGCGAAGGCAGCUUACUAUGGUUUUAUUGACGCUGAGGCACGAAAGCGUGGGGAUCGAACA